ACAGUAUAAAAAAAUGUUUACAAAUAUCUUAACUUGCAACGUGUGACAGGCUACACAUCAGUGUUGUCCAUCUUUAAUCGAGAAAUGCAUUCAGAACAUUUUAUGAAGUAUUGGCAGGCUGUACCUGACGUCUUACUUUCUUGCAACGAAAUCAAAAGAACUACAAACCAAUUAAAUUAAUUUUUAUAGCAGCAUUUUUUUUGAAGAAUUUUUUUUUUUAAAGAAUUUUCUUUGAAGAAUUUUAUUUACUAAUCAGAUUACUUGUAUUUCAUAAUUUCUUUAAAUUAUUUUUGGAGAUUUUUGGAUUUAAAUUUUGGUGUUAUACAAAAUUUUAAGUUUAAAAAAUUAUUUUACAUAUAGAUUCUUAGAUUUUUAAUAAUUAAUUUUUAUUCAGAAGUACAAUUAUAAUUGGAGUGUCCA